GAAGUUCCUGGGCCAGGGAUCGAACCUACACCACAGCAGUGACAAUGCCAGAUCUUUAACCCACUGAGCCACCAGGGAACUCCCCAAAAUGAUCUAUUCUUAAGCACCCCAGCAAAGCAUAUUUCAGUAAAUAUAAGUAAUUUAUUGCCUUUUAGGUGGAAAUUCAUGGGCUGUGUGUAAGGGGAUAAAAUACUAAAUUCAUCAUCAGACAAGAAUUUCAAAGUAUAUCUGCAUUUCUGAGUUUUGAAGGGACCUCAUCUGGAGAGAGAGAGAGAGGAUGAGAUGGGGGAGAAGCAGAUUUAUCCACUGGCUAUUUCAUUCCCUACCCCAAUAUUAAAUUUUAUGUGGGGAAUCUAGGAGUUUAAAAGCUUCACAUUUUUGUGUAAUAAAAAAGAAAUACAAUAUCCUGUUGCUAUGCGUAGUGACACUUUGUGCAGGAAAGAAAACCGUUCUCCUUAGCUAUUCUUUGAAAUACGACCUACGACGUCAUUUAAUUUUUGAAAACCCUAAGGUCAUGUAACACACUUUCUCUGUCAUUUGUAAGUACAUUAACUCAGUGGCCAUACGACAGUGAAAUUAUGAUAAUGGGCUGCUAAAAUGGGUCAGGCAGGCACUGCAUUUCAUGUUAGCUUCAAACAACCAUCAGAGCACAGCUCAAAUCAAAUAUGACAGCAGAAAAGCACGGAGUUUACUUUUCUUAAAAGGUCAAAGCAGGAUUCUUUCCAAAACAUUUCUCUAUCCUGGUCCGAGAUUUGAACAAGCGCGAUCUAUUCUGCCUGGAAAAUUGUUCUGUUAAAUUAAAAAUAUUUUAAAACGGAAGCACGUUUAAUGUAUUCAUUUAAACAACCCCCCCAAAACCUCUUCUUUUAGUAAUAUGUCUUGUGUGAACUCUUUUCAAAAAAUAAGAAAAUAAAAAAGAAAUAGGAAGUGGACAUGUACUUUGCUGUGUGGGGCACAUCUCUGACACAUCUUGAGCCAAAGAUUCUGAAAGAAUUCACAACUGGAAAUGGUUGCCCCUCCACUUCAAAAAAACAAAGAAACUGACUUGUGACACUGUGUAAAAGACAUUUAAGGAUGCACGUCCUGAUGAGUUUACCCCGACUUAUUCCCACGAUCUAGUACUCUGGAGUUCCUCCCUUUAGUAACGCUGGCUGGCUUUGAACUUGGACCAGGUAUUGUGGUCCCUAUUAGCCUUUAGGAGAUACUGCCAGAAGGACCCCACCUUAAGGUGCAGGCAGCCACCUUAUCUCCAAAGAAUUUAAAAACUCUGUAUCAGAGUACGGCCCCUUUUAAACAGCCCUUUUCCUUCCUUCUUUUUUUCUGUACUUGGAAAAAAAAAAAAUCUGUCAGUGUAAGAGUUCCUGGAAGAACUCUAAGCAUGAAGUUGAGGAACAAAAGCACAAGAACGCCAUCCGCAUGCAAAAGUUAACUGAAUGGCAGAGAUAAUUGCUAAGAUAAUUGUUGUGAUAGGAGCCAGCUGAAAGUUUCUGUAGCGUAUUUUCCUAUUCCUGUUAAGGGUAAACUAUCCAUUUCAGAGAGAUACUAUUGGAGCACAUGUUUACUGGACGACAUUUUGUUUUCAAUAUUUUUUUUUUUUGCAAAAUCAUCGUAAUGAAAACCAGGGCUUUUAAGAGGAUAGCUAGUUUAAGUAGUCCCACCACAUAUUUCUGACGACUAUACUAUCACCUUAGAAAUAAAUGAGUGAUAUUAUGUCAUCUUGUGAUGCAACAUCUCCAGUGUAUAAAAUAGUAUCACACUUUUUUUUUUUUUUUUUUUUUUUUUUGUCUUUUUAGGGCCGCUCCAGCAGCAUAUGGAGGUUCCCAGGCUAGGGGUCUAAUUGGAGCUGUAGCUGCCGGCCUACACCACAGCCACGCCAGAUCUGAGCCACAUCUGUGACCUACACCACAGCUCACAGCGAUGCCGGAUCCUUAACCCACUGAUGAGGGCAGUGAUCAAACCCACAACCUCAUGGUUCCUAGUCGGAUUCGUUU
ensembl:lncRNA